rnacentral:rRNA from 1 species
UACGAAGGGGGCUAGCGUUGCUCGGAAUUACUGGGCGUAAAGGGCGCGUAGGCGGCUUGUACAGUCAGAUGUGAAAUUCCUGGGCUCAACCUGGGGGCUGCAUUUGAUACGUAUGGGCUUGAGUGGGGAAGAGGGUCGUGGAAUUCCCAGUGUAGAGGUGAAACUCGUAGAUAUUGGGAAGAACACCGGUGGCGAAGGCGGCGACCUGGUCCUUGACUGACGCUGAGGCGCGAAAGCGUGGGGAGCAAACAGG